GAAUUGAUGUUUUUCGCAGUGCAAUAUGUAUAUAUAAGGUCCCAGCAAACAUCACACAAGACAAACACCAGGUUAGCAUUCGUAAGGAGCCUACAAAAUAAUAAACUCUGAAUAUUCCUCACGGAUAAAAAGCAGAUACAAUGGGUUCUGGACCAGUCUUAUCAAGUUUGCUGAUAUUUAUAGUGGCCAUUGAGCUUGCAACUACAACAACAACAAGUGGAGGUUCAACAACAACUGAUGGAUCCACAACAACAGGUGGAUCAACUACAACUGUAGGUUCAACAACAACUGAUGGAUCCACAACAACAGGUGGAUCAACUACAACUGGAGGUUCAACAACAACUGAUGGAUCCACAACAACAGGUGGAUCAACUACAACUGGAGGUUCAACAACAACUGAUGGAUCCACAACAACAGGUGGAUCAACUACAACUGGAGGUUCAACAACAACUGAUGGAUCCACAACAACAGGUGGAUCAACUACAACUGGAGGUUCAACAACAAGUAUCACAGCCUUCAACAUUGACACCACCUCCAUUUCUUUGCAUUGCGCAGAAGUGUCACGUGCAGUCAGCCACAAGAUCAGUCUCAUCACUGCGUCCCUCCUGGUGCUGAUGUCAUGGCGGCUGUCAAGCCCCUAAUAAUGUCCAUGUGAAAUCUCACUAGAAAAUGACUGCUAUCACUGGUAUGAAAAAGAACCUUGUCCUCAUCAAAAAUCCGAUGACAGAGGAUCGCAAAUGUUAUAUGGCUUGGAAAAAGACAGAACCAGAUAUUAAGAUCAAAGAUGAUACACAUUCCUAACAAAGGCUGUUUGCAACAGCACAUCUAUUCAACCUGCAUGGGUCCUUGAUAGAACCUUUCCUUAUUUCUUUGUUUGACAUCCUAACGAGGCCAUUCUUGAAAGAGACAACUUUAAGCUCCUGAUCUGCUGAAAUUAAAGUGUCAUUAUCACUGUAAAACAUAAUGGCACUCGGUACACUCAUACCUCCACCAAGGCCAAACAAUCCCACACAUGAUUGUCUAGUUCUUAUAAUAGCAGCAGAAAAAAAAGGAAGUGGUCUAAUAACCAAAUUAUUUAUUUGUCAUAAAACUUAGUUAGUCCAGGAUCUGCCCUUUGUUCCACAUCUGGACCAACAUUAAAUGGUGGAAAUCAGUGAAGCAAAUUUUCUGAAAUCCUGCUAACAAAUAACCAAUAAACCAACAUUUUGGAAAACAAAACAUUCUUGGCGGAGGUAAGUAAUGACUUAAACGUUUGAGUAAUGAAAAAUGACACCUUGACACACCACAAUUAACAUUUUCACACAGUUUAAAUGCAAUUUGAUCAUAUUUGACUAUAAUAAUAUCAUUUAGAAAAUUUUAACCACUGCCUUUUAAACUGGACAAAAGGUAAAUCCAAUGAAAUUUAUCCAAAGAUAUUUUUAUACAAUUAUAUUUCACUUCAUGUAAGAACUACCCAAUGAAGUUGAGUGAGAAGGAAAUGAAGAAAGAAAAACAUUCAGCUGACACUGUGCGCUCCCCCCAAAACCUGACCCAGUCAGGUUUAUGUUGAAUGUUGUGACUUUCCUGCAAUAUACAAUGUCUGAACAAUGUCCUGCAUAAUCCAUUGAACUUUCUUGUAAAAUGUAUUUAUCAUACAUAUGUGUAUUUUGUGAGCUUGCUUGUGAUUUUGACGUUGUGCACUUGCCUAUGGCGCAUACUAAGCUAUGCCAUUGACUUCAGACCAGGUUUUUUUUGGUCAAACGCGCAACUGGAUUCCGCAGCCUCAAGAAUGCACAAAUGAACGUGAACACAGCGCAUUCUUAGAUCAACAUGAAGAUGGCCAUUCAGAUGGGUUCAAGUGCAUUAAAUAUUUAAGCAACAUGGGGGCUGGUAAGGGAAAAUGAUGACUGCGUCAGUCUGAAACUAGCAAAUACAGUUGUGUCGCACUUAGUGUUGCUUUGCGCCCAUCUUAAGUGUAUAUAAAAUGUAUAUCACUGCAUUGCCGGAAUUUCCCAGCUUGGGACGAAUUAGUAUCUAUCUAUCUAUCUAUCUAUCUAUCUAUCUAUCUAUCUAUCUAAUGAAGCUGCUUAAUUAAAGGCACUAAAGACAAUGAAAA